rnacentral:rRNA from 1 species
UCCGUAGGUGAACCUGCGGAGGGAUCAUUACCGAGUUUACAACUCCCAAACCCAAUGUGAACGUUACCAAUCUGUUGCCUCGGCGGGAUUCUCUGCCCCGGGCGCGUCGCAGCCCCGGAUCCCAUGGCGCCCGCCGGAGGACCAACUCAAACUCUUUUUUCUCUCCGUCGCGGCCUACGUCGCGGCUCUGUUUUAUUUUUGCUCUGAGCCUUUCUCGGCGACCCUAGCGGGCGUCUCGAAAAUGAAUCAAAACUUUCAACAACGGAUCUCUUGGUUCUGGCAUCGAUGAAGAACGCAGCGAAAUGCGAUAAGUAAUGUGAAUUGCAGAAUUCAGUGAAUCAUCGAAUCUUUGAACGCACAUUGCGCCCGCCAGUAUUCUGGCGGGCAUGCCUGUCCGAGCGUCAUUUCAACCCUCGAACCCCUCCGGGGGGUCGGCGUUGGGGAUCGGCCCCUCACCGGGCCGCCCCCGAAAUACAGUGGCGGUCUCGCCGCAGCCUCUCCUGCGCAGUAGUUUGCACACUCGCACCGGGAGCGCGGCGCGGCCACAGCCGUAAAACACCCCAAACUCUGAAAUGUUGACCUCGGAUCAGGUAGGAAUACCCGCUGAACUUAAGCAUAUCAAUAAGCGGAGGA